rnacentral:rRNA from 1 species
AUGUUGACUAACCCUACUGAUAGCCUUUAUGAGCCUUGUGAUGAUGCAAAAAACAGCGGUGAAAAAAUCGCAGUAAAUGGUGAAGAAAACAGUGCAGCAGCUCCAUAUUUCAUGUGCCCUGGCCUGAGCAACAAAUCCCCCUCGGGAUCUGGGCAGGUGAUGCCGCCGCGCAGCGAAUCUGCCUCAGGAUCGGAGCUCCGCCGCGGAUCUGCUCCACCCGCGCCAGCCACGCGGCGGGUCCUGGAAGGCUGUGGGGACUCUCCUCACGCGCGCCAACAGCCGCCGGACAGAUGGCGGGCCGGCGCUGGUCUGGACCGCGCGCGGCCUCAGGCCCAACAGCUUGUUUACAAGCGGCGGGCUGCGACUCGUCUGAUGAGUGCGGGGACAGAUCCUGUCGAAGCGGGGCCCAGGAGAUCAGCCUGA